ACAAGCAACGUUCUCUAGUGCCUGCGAGCCGACAACAGCCACUUCACAAAAGCUUCUCCUAAUUGUCACGUGUGGCUGCACGUUUCCCUCUCGAAAGCGGUAAAAAACGGCAAGAACAACAAGAAAAAAGUGUGUGCAUCACGACGCUCCCUAACAAGGUACUUCAAGACGUACAUCAUUCUACCGAAAGAUGAUACACCUCGCGCCUCUCUUGUGCUCUACCUUCCUCUUCCGCUGAUCACACCACAACCGUGUGGAGUACACACCUAAAUGGACGGAAUGCACCUAAAAGUGAGCUAAUUACAAAGCCAGAACCAGAUGUGUGUGUGUAUGUUUACAAAACAAAACACUGUGGACAGACGCACACGGUGCUCCAAGAAGCCUCCCUCCCCAAGUACCAGCAGCAGCAGCUGACGGGAUUCUAAUCAAAAACAUACGCACACAACAACACACCCCUGGAGGUUGGGGAUGGUAACGGUUUCAUCACAUCGGAGUAGAGCAAUGUGUGCGUUAUCAAGGCGAUAAGAAGGUAAACAGAGCGCGUUAGCAAAGCGCGUCGCACGUUCCAAAUUGCAGUAGGCCGCCAGUCACACAGACCGUUUGACGUUUAGUGCACAGUGUGUGUUUGUGCGUAGCUACAGCGCCUCGAUGCUGCUAGUGAACGAGUGAGAGUUUUAGGCGAUUCUUUUUUAGGGCCGCGGAUGGAAGGAAUGAUUUUGCGGGUAGAAUCGAACCGAGCAGCACCGGCAGUCCGAUGGGAGAGUGCGUCAAGUCGUGUUGCUACUGUUGUGCCUCGUGCUACAACACACCGAUCUGCUGUGUUGGAAGUCUGUGCUGUGUGCUGAUACCGCUGCUCGGGCUGCUGGUGAUUCUGUUCGGCGCAGUGUUUGGCAUGAUCGUUGGCAUAGCCUGGCUGGCACAGAACCACACCGAACCGGCGACCGUCAACCGUAUGCUUGCGAUACUGGCAAACAGUUCCGCCGGGGAGUCUUUCACCGCGAGCGAACAAAGUGUUGUGCAGUAGAAGGUGGACGGUGGAAGAGUUGUUAUCAAUCCAUUAUCAAGCACUUCCGACACAACACGAACAGCGGGUGUCAACACACAAAAAAGCAUCUUUAGAGCAACUUUGUAUGCUAGGUCUUUGCCGUACAGCAACAACACCCCGGGGGGCAAGUAUUGCCGUUUUACGAUGGGAAAACCUUCAGCCAUCAGCCUCUUCUUGUUAACGAAAAUGCACUGGCAUGGUUCUCGGAUGGUCAAGGAAAAUGCGUGCGGUGCGGCAGAUGCCACCUCGGAGAUUAGAUUGCGGAGAUCGAUUAGCCGAAGCAGCAGCGGUAGUAGCAGCACUUCACGAUACACAGGCCGGCAUCAUCGUUAGCUGACAUAUACAAACACACUAGCAUACGUAUAGGAUAUAGGUCAAUAGGUCUAGCAAACCGUAAGAAGGGUCUUAGCAUAAUUAGUAUGCAGAUUGCGAAUGCGAUCACCGAUCCGCCAAAAAGCGAGAGAGAGAGGGAACAAAACAAAAAACAAGAUUAAUGAUGGUUUUAGAGGCACCGUUUUGUACUGCGUGUGAAACGCAACUAGGAGGUUCAGGUGGGAGGGUUUUGGUUUGCUCUUAUCAGCAAAUCGAAGAUUUAGCCCAAAGAUAGUGCGCAUAAAAGGUUCCGAUCUUACGCAAAGCAGACACCUCAAAACAAACCCUUUUGCCCCUCCACCGCAAACACCACCACCAUCCUGCUGCUGGCCUGCAUUAGAGCAGGUUGGUGGAAGGUUUAAUUGAUCGACGGCUGUGCGGAGAAAAUCGUACGCUCCAAUUAGGCUUGGCGAUGUACACUUGCUGCGCUUGGACAGCCCCAAUAUAAACUGGCAGCAUAAUCGAACCAGAAUUGUACCUGUCUGUGUGCUUGUGUGUGUGUCUCUAUGCGCAAUAAUUUCUCCCUCUUGCCGACAAAACCACCACCAGCACCGCUCUCUAUGCUGUCACUUUCACAUGACAUGGCACUGAGAGACAUGGUUUUGGUUUGCAUCUGUUUGCCUUCUUCUUUGCCUGGCGGUGUGCGGCGGGACGGCUUACAUAAGCGCCGGUGUGUUGCAGCUGCCGCUGCUCCACAAACUGCUGCUGCUGCACCACAUAAAACGGUACCACCACCGCCAGGCGCAAGCGCGCGCAACCGGCCUGGGCAAAACAAUUCCCAAUCCGGUGGCUCCAAUUUCCCACCAUCGAAGGGGGUGGUGCACCAUAGAAUUUGCGGCGGUGGAGGAGAAGCCGGUGCAAACAUCAAACCCAAAACCGAUGUGGGAUGGAUGGACGACGGUGUCAUUUCGGUUUCGUAUGGUUUGGAUUUAAAAAUUUGUUUUUUCAACGCAUUUUCUUGGCUUGGCGGACGCGCGCGCUCGCAGGCAGAAUUGGGUGUUGUGUUGCGUGGAGUAGUGUGCAAUCGUUUUCGAUGUGUGCCCCUUUAAUUUGUACGCAUAAUAUUUACGCAAAUUGGCACUUUCUUUCGGCGUACCGAUUGGGGUGGGGGGCUCGCUCCACACGGUUUGACAUGAUUGAUCGGCACGGCUAGCAAGUGCUUACCACGCGUGUGCAGAAUGAUUGGGUGUGGUUUUGAGGGAAGAAGUUUAAAUUUAAGCGUAAUUUUGUAGAUACUAAAUAAGCGGUCCUGUCCGGGAGUGGGGUCACACAGUCGUUAUCAAGGAGAAAUAGGUUAAGGAGCGGUGUUGUUGUAAAAGAGGGUUUAGAACCAGCAAAACACACGGAGCUACGGAUUAAAGCCAUUUCGCAGCCUGUUAAGGCAAUCAUUCAAUUAAAGGUGAUAUAAUUUAACAACACUUUGACCUACUUUAUAAAAUAAAAUCAGAAUAACGAGCAACCCCCCUCCCACAAGGUAAGGAUAGUGUAAAGGUGCACCACCCUGGAAAGCACCCACCCAGCACAGCAUAAAUAAAUCACCGUUAACAAAAGUGAUUUUAAUCCACAAAAAUACGUUCCAGUUCUUCUUUCACUAAACGAAACGACAUGCACAAAAUACGCACAAGGUCCCCCAGAGGAAGCAAGGGGCACUUAUGUCGACGACCAUUAUGGCACGGGGCGCGAGCGUUGGAAACAUAUUCAUUACAAUCCAAUCCCUCUGCCUGCUGCACUGUGCACCUGGGGUCGCAUUGUAAGUGCGUAUCGACUUACACCCGUCAAUUGCCGCACACAACACACUGACUCACCACCGAAUGCAGGAAGGAUCCCCCGAGGAAUUGACCCCGGUAGCGCGGUGGUUAAAGCCUCAACGGGUUUAAAUCACCGAGAAGAUUUUUAAGCGCCUUACAAAGCGUUCCGUUGGUGCGUUGCAUGCGUCAUAAAGAACACACCGGAACGCUUGCCCGGGCAGUGUACCGACCAACAUGGAAGGUUUUAAAAGGAAUAAAGCGACGGCAUAAGUUGACGGCUUUACUACA